GACUAUGACGUCCUGUGGUCGCAGACGUUGCUUCUGGAGCACUGGGGUCAGUGCUUCCUGUAGAGACUUGCUGGACUUUACCACAAUACCCACUGUCUUCCCUGUGGACACUAUCUCCACCCUGAGAAAUAGACACAACUUGGCAUUAGUAGGAUUUUGUUUGUUUUGUAGGGUUUAUUUAAUGACAGGAAAUACAAAAGUGAACAUGUCGUGAAAUAUCAGGAUGUGGACACUCACGCAAAAGUCACUCUGAGCUCCAAGAAGACCUGCUGCUCCUUCAGAACUGAGCUGUCCUGAUCCAGAGAGAGGGGCUUCUGGGGAGAGGCCGGAGAACAGAAGGUAGAUGAUGACAUCCGAGAGGGGGAGGCCUCUCUUCUCACAGAGCCCAGUGAGCAUAGUGCGGAUGGAGAGGCCAGGUCGGGCUGGAGCCAGGGAGGCAGUGCCGUCAGGAAGGAACACACAACAGUACUUCUCUGCCUGGCCCGCACGCCAACGCUCCUUCUCCAACUUCUGGGGGGGAAAGGGGCCUCGUAAUCCAAACUGGUGAAUCUCAUCUCUUUUCCCAUAAAUCCUCCAG